rnacentral:rRNA from 1 species
GUCUAUGGCCAUACCACCCUGAUAGUGCCUGAUAUCCUGAUCUCAGAAGCUAAGCAGGGUCAGGCCUGGUUAGUAUUUGGAUGGGAGAAUAUGGCUCUUCUUUGCUAGUAUAGCUU